rnacentral:lncRNA from 1 species
AGCAAGUGCACGCCGCGCGGAGGACGAAGAGGCUGCACGCACAGCCGCUGCCGGGGGUCGGGGCCAAGUGCGCGCCUCGCCGAGGACGAAGAGGCUGGCGUGCCCGGUGGCUCGGCUAGCUCCCGGGUCCCGGCCCCGCCUGGAGGAUGCGGCUGUGGGGGAAUGGGAGCGGCCGGACCUCCCAGCCUGACAGUGCAUCAAGAGCUUUGCGGAGCCUACAGCCCGGAUGGGACGACUGAGGCCCUCCCGCUGGCGAGCUGGCCGAGGGCUCGUCCCUCUCCAGCUAAAGCGCCAGCUUACGAUACAGCCAAACUGCCGGCUCUCAUCGGCUGUGGGAGCAGGAGGCCCCCAGGGGUAAAUCCCGGAGCCUCGUCUCUGAAGCCUGGCGCUUGUGUCUCAGAAGAUGGAGUUCCUCUCUUGUGGCCCAGGCUGGAGUGCAAUAGCACCAUCUCGGCUCACUGCAACCUCUGCCUCCCAGGUUCAAGUGAUUCUCCUGCCUUAGCCUCCUGAGUAGCUAGGAUUACAGAUUUAUAGGAGCAUUGUGACUGGACCAAGGACAAAGAAGUUCCCAACCUCCUCAGACCCUCGCUGCUGCCCAGAUGUCUGCCAUGGGGUGGCCAUCAUCGAAUCCACUGAGGGCGCAAAUAGAACAAAAAGGUGAAGAAAAGGUGAAUUCUCUCCUUUCUUGAGCUGGGACAUCCAACUUCUCAGACAUCAGAGCUCCUGGAGGCCUUCAGACUCCGAGACAUUACACCAUUGGCUCACCUGGUCCUCAGGUCUUUGGACUUGGAAUGAAUUACACCAUUGGCUUUCCAGGUCUUCCAGCUUGCAGAUGGCAGAUUGUGGGACUUUUCAGCCUCCAUAACUUUGUCAUCCAAUUCCCAUAAUAAAUCGCCUCUUAUAUCUGUA